rnacentral:rRNA from 1 species
AUUGAACGCUGGCGGCAGGCUUAACACAUGCAAGUCGAGCGAGCGGCGGACGGGUGUGUAAUUUCUGGGACACUGCCUGAUGGAGGGGGCUAACUACUGGAAACGGUCGCUAAUACCGCAUACCAUCAGAUGUGUCCAGAUGGGAUUAGCUAGUCGGGGGGGUAAUGGCUCUCCUAGGCGACGAUCCCUAGCUGGUCGUGGAGGAUGACCAGACACACUGGAACUGAGAGACGUUCCAGACUCCUACGGGAGGCAGCAGUGGUGAAUAUUGCACAAUGGGCGCAAGCCUGAUGCAGCAAUGCCGAGUGUGGGAAGAAGGUCUUCGGGUUGUAAAGCACUUUCAUCGAGGAGGCGUUGCUCGCAGAAGAAGCACCGGCUAACUCCGUGCCAGCAGCCGCGGUAAUUC